rnacentral:rRNA from 1 species
CAGUUAUAGUUUAUUUGGUACAUUAAAUGGAUAACUGUAGAAAAACUAGAGCUAAUACAUGCCAAAGCCUCACGGUUGUAUUUAUUAGAUAUUCCAAUUAGGUGAAUCAUAAUAACUUCGCAAAUCUCGGUUUUGCCGAGAUAAAUCAUCCAAGUUUCUGCCCUAUCAUGCUUUCGUUGGUAGUGUAUUGGACUACCAUGGCUCUCACGGGUAACAGGGAAUUAUGGGUUCGCUAAACGGAGAAGGAGCCUGAGAAACGGUCUACUACAUCUACGGAAGGCAGCAGGCGCGUCACACCACCCAAUCCUGACUCAGGGAGGUGGUGACAAGAUAUAAUGACGCUAUGAAAAAUAGUGAUUAUAGUGAGGGUAUUCCAAACCGAACCACAAGUACGAUUAGAGGGCAAGUCUGGUGCCAGCAGCCGCGGUAAUUCCAGCUCUAAUAGCGUAUAUUAAAGUUGCUGCAGUAAAAGCUCGUAGUUGG